AUACGGAGGAUCCGAGCGUUAUCCGGAUUUAUUGGGUUUAAAGGGUGCGCAGGCGGCCAUUUAAGUCAGCGGUUAAAUCGUGGGGCUCAACCCCAUGCUGCCGUUGAUACUGGGUGUCUUGAUUGCGGUCGAGGUUGGCGGAAUUCGUUGUGUAGCAGGGAAAUGCAUAGAUAUGACGAAGAACACCGAUUGCGUAGGCAGCUGACCAGACCGCAAAUGACGCUCAUGCACGAAAGUGCGGGGAUCGAACAGGAUUAGAUACCCUGGUAGUCCGCACAGUAAACGAUGAAUACUUGUUUUCGGCGAUAUAAUGUCGGAGGCAAAGCGAAAGCGAUAAGUAUUCCACCUGGGGAGUACGCCGGCAACGGUGAAACUCAAAUGAAUUGGCGGGG
rnacentral:rRNA from 1 species